GCGAGUGAAGCGGCAAUAGCUCAAAUUUGAAAUCUGGCUCUUUCAGGGUCCGAGUUGUAAUUUGUAGAGGAUGUUUCGGAUAAGGCUUGGGUCUAAGUUCCUUGGAACAGGACGUCAUAGAGGGUGAGAAUCCCGUCUUGGUCCCUAUGCCGCAUCCAUGUGAAACUCCUUCGACGAGUCGAGUUGUUUGGGAAUGCAGCUCAAAAUGGGAGGUAAAUUUCUUCUAAAGCUAAAUAUUGGCCAGAGACCGAUAGCGCACAAGUAGAGUGAUCGAAAGAUGAAAAGCACUUUGAAAAGAGAGUUAAACAGUAUGUGAAAUUGUUGAAAGGGAAGCGCUUGCAACCAGACUUGUUUCGAACGGUUCAACCACUGUUUUCAGUGGCCCAUUCCGUUCGUCCAGGCCAGCAUCAGUUUGGGUGGGUAGUUAAAGGCCUUGGGAAUGUAUCUACUCCUUCGGGUGUAGACUUAUAGCCCUCGGUGUAAUGUACCCUACCUAGACUGAGGUACGCGCAUCUGCUCGGAUGCUGGCGUAAUGGUUGUAAGCGACCCGUCUUGAAACACGGACCAAGGAGUCUAACAUCUAUGCGAGUGUUAGGGUGUCAAACCCUUACGCGGAAUGAAAGUGAACGGAGGUAGGAACCCGUUAGGGUGCACUAUCGACCGAUCCUGAUGUCUUCGGAUGGAUUUGAGUAAGAGCAUAGCUGUUGGGACCCGAAAGAUGGUGAACUAUGCCUAAAUAGGGUGAAGCCAGAGGAAACUCUGGUGGAGGCUCGCAGCGGUUCUGACGUGCAAAUCG
rnacentral:rRNA from 1 species